rnacentral:lncRNA from 10 species
GCUGCUGUUGCUGUUACGGUUUUUACAGAGCUUACAGUUUUAAUAAGUUUUUCCUUGCCCUCCCUUUGUUUUUUCCCUUUAGUUUCUGUGUUUGAAGAACAUACGCACCUUCCUGAAAGUCUGCCACGAUAAAUUUGGAUUAAGGAACAGCGAGCUGUUUGACCCCUUUGACCUCUUCGAUGUGCGAGACUUUGGAAAGGAUCCUAGGAGGCUGUGAUUUCAAGACCUGAGUUCAAGCUCUGGGAGCGGCCUUGGCCCAUGAGUGGAUCCCUUGAUCUCCAUGCCAGUGGUGUGAGGACUUGGCUCUGGGAAGAGGGGCCUCUGGGUGGCAGUGGUGGCAGCAGCCCACGCUUCAGGACGCACUAGGAGCAGAGGAGGUGUGCUCAGGCCCUGCCAUUGUUUCUCAUUUGCCCCCAAGACAUUAAUUGUGUCUGUUGGAGCCUGACAAUUUGAUGUUUGCAGCAAAAAAGCCAAAUGAGACCAAGAAGGAGAAAAGAAAAAAAAAU